rnacentral:rRNA from 1 species
AUUGAACGCUGGCGGCAUGCUUUACACAUGCAAGUCGAACGGUAACAGGCCGCAAGGUGCUGACGAGUGGCGAACGGGUGAGUAAUGCAUCGGAACGUGCCCAGUCGUGGGGGAUAACUGCUCGAAAGAGCAGCUAAUACCGCAUACGAUCUAUGGAUGAAAGCGGGGGACCGUAAGGCCUCGCGCGAUUGGAGCGGCGGAUGUCAGAUUAGGUAGGUGGUGGGGUAAAGGCUCACCAAGCCAACGAUCUGUAGCUGGUCUGAGAGGACGACCAGCCACACUGGGACUGAGACACGGCCCAGACUCCUACGGGAGGCAGCAGUGGGGAAUUUUGGACAAUGGGGGCAACCCUGAUCCAGCAAUGCCGCGUGCAGGAAGAAGGCCUUCGGGUUGUAAACUGCUUUUGUACGGAACGAAACGGUCUGGGUUAAUACCCUGGGCUAAUGACGGUACCGUAAGAAUAAGCACCGGCUAACUACGUGCCAGCAGCCGCGGUAAAAC